rnacentral:misc_RNA from 1 species
CGAAAUGCGAUACGUAGUGUGAAUUGCAGAAUUCAGUGAAUCAUCGAAUCUUUGAACGCACAUUGCGCCCUUUGGUAUUCCAAAGGGCAUGCCUGUUCGAGCGUCAUUUGUACCCUCAAGCUUUGCUUGGUGUUGGGCGUUUUUUGUCUUUGGCUCGCCCAAAGACUCGCCUUAAAACGAUUGGCAGCCGGCCUACUGGUUUCGCAGCGCAGCACAUUUUUGCGCUUGCAAUCAGCAAAAGAGGACGGCAAUCCAUCAAGACUCCUUCUCACGUUUGACCUCGGAUCAGGUAGGGAUACCCGCUGAACUUAAGC